AUGGCUACCUGUUGCCUACUUGGGGGUGGGGGAGAGAAGAGGAAGGGCAAAGUGGCGGGGAAGUUGGUGUGGUGCAAACACAGGAGCAGAACCAAUUCUGGUGCACCUGCCGUUGCAUUUGCACCACACCAGCUUUCCUGCUGCCUCGCUCCUCCUUCUCUCCCUCACGGUAAGCAAGAGUAAUCCA